CAGAACAACUAUUUCAAAACACAGUCACAUUUAGUAUUGCCUCUGAGUUACAAAAAGUUCAGUUUCUUUCUGAAAAUUAUGAAGAAUUUCCCUCAGCAGCAAUAACUUCUUUUAGCAAAUAUAAUUCCUCCUGCAUAUCUGUCCUCAGCGUUUCCCACUUCUGUCUCUAUCUUGCUGUGAGCACUGCUUUUAAUCUUUAAAGCACAUUUUGUGCCUGUAGUUCUUCUGACCCUCAUUUCUUGUGGGGUCAGUAUCUAAGAAUGGGUUUCUAUACCUUUGUAAGUCCCAUUGGCUUUCUGAAGUAGCAAGGGUGGAGAAGGUCUAGUCAAAAUGUUGUGGAUAAAGCAGUCCAUUCUCUCCAAAGCUGAGGGUAAGUUGUAAACAGCAGAAAAUGGUGAAGAAACUGAUUAUAAUUUGGACUAUGUAAGACUACUUUUAAUUUGCUCAAAGUAUCAGUAGUGCCGAACCUGAUUCUGGUGUCUAUUAAACCAUGCUUCACAGAAUCACAGAAUGGUUGAGGUUGAAAGGAACCUCUGGAGAUCAUCUAUUCUGACCUCUUUGCUCCAGCAGGGCCACCCAGAGCCAGUUGCCCAGGACCGUGUCCAGACAGCUUUUCAAUGUUUCCAAGGAUGGAGAUUCCACAGCAUUUCUGGGCAACCUGCACCAGUGCUCAGUCACCCUCACAUAAGGGCUUACGCCCUUAUUUUAUAAAUACAAAGAAUAACUUAAGUUCUCUGAUGUGUUGAUAAGAAAAUCAAGCUUGCCAAAAUCACAAAAAUUAAUUUUAUGAUAAAAUAUGACAAUUUUUUAAACUAACACUUUUUAAAUGGUCAUCUUUUUAUGUGCUUUUCGUUACAGCUGACACUGUAGUCAAAAUGCAAACUAAUGCUAGGGUCAUGGAAUAGAAUUUUCACUGUUCUAGUCAAGAUUUGUCUGGUACAUGUACUGGGCCUAAAGGAAUACCAUAGCUCAUGCUUGAAAGGAACUUUCAAUUUCAUAAACAGCGAAUCCAGUGAAGUGCAUUUUUGAAACUGAACUGCCAUAAGUGCAUUUUGGAGGCAAAAAAAAAGAGGAGGAAAAAAAAAACCCACAAAAAAAGUAUUUUGCAAGUAUUUUGAAAGUACUAAUUUACUAAUAUGCUAGAAGAUAAUUCAGGCUGUGUUCAUACAAGUGUUUCUGCAAAAUACCGUGAUUCUUGUCUGAAUAUUAGAAUGAGCAAGAAACAAAAUUCUCUGUACUUCUAGGAAAGUUAUAAAAUUAAUCUCUGAAUAAAUUUCCUUUGGACACUAAUACAGUAGUGUAAUACACCACCUGUCAUAAAAGAAUUAAUAAGCCUUUUCAUCAGUUUGUUUAUUACAGGAUCAUAGACAUAUCAGUCAGAAGGGAACUUUGGAGCCCGUGUUGUCCAACUGCCCACUUCAAGUAGGACUAUUGCUAACCCUGGAUCAGACCAGCUUUUUGUCUUCUUCUGCUCUAGUUCAAGCACUACAUUACCCUACCCUUCGGAGAGCAUUUUCCUAAUGCCCAGUCUGAACCUUUGAAGCCACUGUUUCUGGCCAUUGGUCACUGCUCUGGUGACGUCAUGGUAGCAAGAGUUUAGCUCCAUGCUUUAACCUUCUCUUCACCAAAGUAAACAAGCCCACCUCUCCCAAGUCUCACUGGAGGUCAUGUGUUACAGGCCCCUGACUGUACCUGCUCCUGUGUUUUAACAUCCCUUCUGAAGUACCCAAAAGUGUGUUUCAGGUGCAGCCUCUACAGCUCCUGAGUAGCGGAAUGAGAAUGACUUCCCUUGAUCUGCUGGCUACACACCUCCUUAAUAUAGUAGUCAGUUUGCUUCGUGGAUGGCAGGAACACAUUUAUCCAUUUAUCACCCAGAUCCAGACAUAGUGCACAAUGUGACUUCUUUUCCUCAGCCAGCCACUCCACAGCCUGCAUGGAAAUGUGGAGCUAUUCUGCACCAGAUGUGAAACUUCGUACAUUUCCUUAUCCAACUUCCUAAAGCUUUUGCUGACUCAGUCCUCAAGUAUAUCAGGGUCCUUCUGGUUUAAUGCUUUACCAUUCAGUGUGUCAAGCACUGCUUUCAGCUUGUCCAUGUAGCAAGUCCCUUCAUCUCAAUGAUCAUAGGGUUGAGGGUUUAUGUAUAAGAAUCAGGGGGAAGACCAUCAUGGAAGAUACUAUAGUGCCAGCCUGUUUUACAGACCAUGCAACCGGGAUGAAGAGGCAGAUGAAAUAUUCUGUCAGUAGCUGGGAGAAGUUUCACAAUUGCUAGCCCUUGUUCUCAUGGGGGACUUUGCAGAUGGCCACUAGAAAUACAAUACAGCUGAGAGGGAACAGUGUAGGAGGUUCAAGGAACAUGUGGAAGAUUACUUCCUGACAGCUGGUGAGGGAGCCAGCCAGGGAGGGCACCCCCUCGACCUUUUGUUUGUGAACAGAGAAGGACUUGUGGGUAAUGUGGCAGCUGGAGGCUGCUUUGGACAAAGCAAUCAUGAAAUGAUAGUUUUAAAUUCUCAGAGAAGUAAGGAGGGUGGUCAUCAGAACUGCUACGUUGGGCUUCCAGAGGGCAGACAUUGUCUUGUUUAGGAUCCUGGUUGACAGAUUCCCUUGGAAGGCAGUCCUGAAGGGCAAAGGACUACAAAAAAGCUGGACAUUCUUCAAGGAUAGAAGUGGGGAAGACAACCGGCUUGGCUGAACAGAGAGUUUUGUCUAGAAGUCAUAGAAAAAAAGAGAAGUUAUGCAGGGAGAAAAUUAGGGGGUCCAAAGCCCAACUAGAACAUAAUCUGGCUGCCAUAAAAGACCAAAAAAUGUUUCUGUAAAUACAUUUUCAACAAAAGGACAAUCUUUGUUAAGGACAACCUUUGUUAAGGACAAUUUUUGUCAAUGAUCUGGAUUAAGAGGAUGCAUUUUGCUUGCUAUUCACACAGUACCUUACUGAAUUAAAUUCAUAAAAUGAAAAAAGGAAACCCUAGAAUGCCUAUGAGGUGGAUUCGCUAUGAGUCUUAGAUUGUCACAUUUAACCAUAUAUUCCAAGCUAGAUGGAAUUAAAAUGAGAACAUAGAAAAAUUUAAUAGAGUCAUAGUGAAAACAGCACUAUGGACUGAUAAUUGAGUGUUUUACUGAGGUGUCCCACACAGCUGAGACUUCAGUGUGAGCACGUUUCAGGGAGAGCAAGGAUGAAAGUACCUCAUAAUAUAUGCAGUUGUGUAGUUACUGCAGAAGUAUUCCCUCAUUAAGAUAAUACAGAAAAACAGCAAAUUGGUGUUCUACUGGAAUGCAAGAAGAUGAGUAAACACUUGCUGCAGAAAGGAUGCCUCCCUAAAAGUGAGCCAUAUGAAUACCUCAGAAUGGAGAGUCUUCAGAAUAUUCAUUAAAGGGGUUCCAAAGCAUGAGCUAGUCUGAAGGACUUCAAAAGUUCAGACAUCUUAAUUGCUCACAGGUGGUGCCAAUGUGGUAUCCCAGUAUCAUAUUGUUCUGCAUGGUCUUUACCUGUAGCCUGGCUUUCUGAUAGCCUACCAGAUUGGAUUUUCUUUUUUAGGGUAUUUUACUAUAUUUGUGCUUUUCAAGGCAAAUUUGGAGCAUGUGCUGAACUGCGUUCAGGGUUCUGCAAGAUCUCACCUUAGGUCCUCACUCACAUCAUUUACAUGUUUCAAUGCAAAAGAGGGAGCAAUAGUGGUGAAGAGUGAAAAACAAAAUCACAGUGGUGACGAAUAUGCCUGGAACACCUUUUGCCAUCAAGCAUGAUCAUCUUUAGUGUGAUGUGUCCCUGCCCAUGGCAGGGGGGUUGGAACUAGAUGAUCUUGAGGUCCUUUUCAAUCCUAACUAUUCUAUGAUUCUCAUGCUGUCAAGGAUAGCAUUUAAGACAGUAGACUGGUGAAUGGAGUGGUUAUUCCAGUAGCAUGGACUUCU